ACUACCCCUAAGAGGAAUUUCAGGUGUGGUUGCUGUGUUGCAUGUGCCUCAGUAGAUGGCAGAGAGGAGAGAGCCUAUGUCUACACUCAGUAUUCUGACCUGUAAACAUCUGAGUAGCUUAAUAUUCCCUUU
rnacentral:snoRNA from 1 species